rnacentral:sRNA from 1 species
UGACCAGGGAGGCGUACUCGGAGAAACGGGGGAACGGAAAGGAUAACAAUGAGCAUCAAUACACUCACCAUUUCUAAAUGGGAAACAGACCUAAUUUCUAACAUAUUCAAAACUCUCCGCCCCCCGUGCUUCCAAAUUGUUCUAUUAACAGCCAAGAGAGCGUGAUGAUGUGGAACCGCCCGCGAUUACUUCAAAGGAAUUACAUGCGCGUGCCGGUGAUGAUGCUCAGAAGAUGUAGAGGAACCAUUUGGUUAGGAUGAGUUUUUUCCUUUCCUUUCCUUUCCUUUUCUUUUCUUUUCAAAAGAUCUUGCACACAGUGCUGCGACGAAGAUGCUGGCAGAGAGAACCCCAAGGUAGGUAAGGGUAGCCUUGCAUGUCUGAGAUGCUUUGCCGCCCAGGUCGACGAAUCAGUUUUCCCUGUUAGAUUUUUACUCGGUGCAUUCUUUGUUAUUGUUAUUUGUCUUUAUUUCCUUCUUUUCGAUUUCUCAACAUGCUCAGCCGUUUAACCCUCUUUGUCAGUUGUAAAAGGCGUUGCAUCAAGUCGAACGACCCACAAGCAACCAAGGAAAUCCGCCCAAGCCAGUGUUUAACAUGCGGUACUCUCGCAGUCCAGAGGGAAUCAUCCUGCGUAAUUAUAUUGCUGCCCGAGGCGAAGCCCUAAGAUUAUUCUAAAAAAUUAUACUACCGCGGUAAAUAUUUUCGGAAAUAUACUAAACUUAGUCUUCCAUAUAUUUUCAAAGUAUAUAUUUUGUUGAUAUACAGAGGCUAUAAGAUAAUGGUUUAUCUGACACAACAGAGAGAGAUCAAAUAAGAAAAAUAGGAAAGGAAGGAAGAGAGAGAAGGAGAACAAGAAGAUGGAAAAAGAUUAGGCACAAAAGUAGUGCAGGAAUCAAGGAAUGAAAAAAAUGCUUCUAUAGAAAAUAUAUAUUUCAAGUCUCCGUCUGAUUCUCUCGUCUGCAGGGGUAUCUUGUAUAUAAAUAAAAAUGACAACUCAAGCAAGAUGAUUAAGAAGAGGGCGAUAAUAGGCGAAAGUGAAACAAGGCUCCAUCUGAGCUUGUGCACUGGGCCUAGUGAAUAUAUAUGAAAGAAAAAAUAAAAUGAGCAGGGGAGAAAAAAUCAACUAAAAAAGUGUUGGACAGAGAAUGAACGAGCGAUGCGAGUGGUCAUAACCAAAUGAGCGUUUCAAUCACUUUCCAAAAUGAACAGGACGCCGGAAGGAAAAAUGGAAAGCAGUCAAAGGUAGGAACUGGUCAGAUACUUACUUUCUUAGAUAUGUAUAUAUGGAUCAGUUGGAAUCAUUAAGGCGUCAGGAUUUUGAAACCGUAAUGGGGUAAUGAGCAAAAGAAGAAAUCAGAGGAAGAAGGAAACGGGGA